AGCUUUUGUAUUUCAGAACUUUCUUAAAAUGUAGUUCCUUUGUUUUUGGUUUUCUGAAUAGUCUUUGGUUUUCUAGAUGUUACUUUGUUUAUUUAAGGGCCUGAAGUUGAAAAGUAAGUAAAAGAAAUUUGGAGAGUAAUCUCUGAAUGCUCAAUCUUGAUUUCAUUCAUCAUUUCAAAUACUUUGGAUAUUUGCUUGUGAUUUUAAUCAGAGUUUUCGCUGCAACGUGGAAUGUUGGUGGUCAAUGCCCCAGCGGGGACCUUGAUCUUAGCGAUUUUCUUCAGUGUCAAAUGGGGACAUCUCAUUUGAUGCUUUUCAGGUCGAUAUUAUUGUAGUUACCGAUGGGAGCAGAAUUCUGGGACUUGGAGAUCUUGGUGUUCAAGGAAUUGGCAUUGCAAUUGGGAAGCUUGAUCUAUAUGUUGCUGCUGCUGGCAUGAAUCCUCAAAGGGCUUUGGAUAAAAUUCGUUUUGAGAGUUUGACCGAUAAAAGCAAACUGGAUAACCUGAACUUUUCAUUAGGCUUGUGCCUGACAAAGCCAAUAGGACACUCUCCAUCAUUGACAGUGGCAUCGGAAUGACCAAAGCAGGUUAUCUCUUCAUUUCAAUUAAGAGAGGAGAUACAGCGCAUCAAAGCAGCGAACCCUCAGAUCCCAUAUAGAGAAGCUUUCAGUGCUGCGGCAAAAAACAUUUUUUAACAUUUUUUAAGAAAUUAGAGGUUUGUUGUGUGGCUCUGAAUUGCUAUAUAAUGAAUAAUUUUGUAGAUUUUGCUUGAGAAGAUGAAGUCGGUGUACACGAAUGUAGAAGGUCUUCCUCCGGAUCGAAUUGUGGAAAGCAAUUGCUUCUCCAGGGCGUGGUAUUUUGGCCAUGGAUGAAUCCAAUGCUACAUGUGGAAAGCGGUUGGAUUCAAUUGGACUAGAGAACACCGAAGCUAACCGUCAAGUAUGGCGUAAAAUUAUAUAUGAAGAAAGUGUUAUGACUUAGUUAAAAUAUAA